GCCGGGCACGGUGGCAUAUGCCUGUAGUCCCAGCUAUUCGGGAGGCUGAGGCUGGAGGAUCUCUUGAACCCAGGAGUUCUGGGCUGCAGUGCACUAUGCCAGUCAGGUGUCUGCACUAAGUUCAGCAUCAAUAUGGUGACCUCCUGGGAGGGGGGGGACCACCGGUUUGCCUAAGGAGGGGUGAACCAGCCCAGGUCGGAAAUGGAGCAGAUCAAAACUCUCAUGCUGAUCAGUAGUGGGAUCAUGCCUGUGAAUAGCCAGUGCACUCCAGCCUGGACAACAUAGCAAGACCCUGUCUCUU
rnacentral:SRP_RNA from 13 species